AACGAACGCUGGCGGCAGGCCUAACACAUGCAAGUCGAACGCCCUAGCAAUAGGGAGUGGCAGACGGGUGAGUAACACGUGGGAACGUGCCCUUCGGUUCGGAAUAACACAGGGAAACUUGAGCUAAUACCGGAUACGUGCGAGAGCAGAAAGAUUUAUCGCCGAAGGAUCGGCCCGCGUCCGAUUAGCUAGUUGGUGAGGUAAUGGCUCACCAAGGCGACGAUCGGUAGCUGGUCUGAGAGGAUGACCAGCCACACUGGGACUGAGACACGGCCCAGACUCCUACGGGAGGCAGCAGUGGGGAAUAUUGGACAAUGGGCGCAAGCCUGAUCCAGCCAUGCCGCGUGAGUGAUGAAGGCCCUAGGGUUGUAAAGCUCUUUCGCCAGGGACGAUAAUGACGGUACCUGGAUAAGAAGCCCCGGCUAACUUCGUGCCAGCAGCCGCAGUAA
rnacentral:rRNA from 1 species